CAGCCCUGCUCUCUCAUUAUGUGGACAGGAUCUCCAAAGUUCAGAAGGACCCAGAGAGUCAGGGCAGGUUCCAAACUAGCUCUGAAGCAUGUCCUCUAGUUUCAUCUCCCAUGGUUCUCAGACCUGGAAUUUCCAACAAUGAAAGCUCACCUCAACUUUCUGUCUUCAAGGAAUGUCUUCUCAAUCUUCAUCCCUUUUUUCUUCUUCAUCCUGUCUCCUCUCCCCAAAACAACUGACCUGGUCCCUUCCCAUUCUUUCAUACUUUUGUUCUGGAUCACACAAUAAGCCAACUGAUGCAGACACUGCUGCUGCCCACCCUGCCUCACCCCACUCCUGAGUUCACCUGCACCUUCGGGGGCAGUCCCAUCCAUCAUGCCCACAUCAAGUACUCCCAUCCUGCUGCCCUCUGUCCUCUUAUGCUUUCUUUUUUUCUUUUUAAGGCUGCACCUGCAGCAUAUGGAAGUUCCCCAGCUAAGGGAUGAAUCAGAGCUGCAGCUGCAGUUCACGCUGCAGCCACAGCAACCCCAAAUCCGAGCCACACCCAAGAUCCACACUGCAGUUUACAGCAACACUGGAUCCUUAAUCUCAGGGAUCAAACCUGCAUCCUCACAGACACUAUGUCAGGUUCUUAACCCACUGAGUUACAACAGGAGCUCCUUUUUUUUUUCUUUCUUUCUUUUUUUUCUUUUAAAGUUCUCCUGUGCUUUAGAAGCUUGCUCAGCCCUUGCACAUGGCAUCCUGGUGGUCUAGAGAUUGAACACCCCUAGGGGCAACCCUCAACACCAAGGGAUGGAUGUCAGGGAAAAAGCACUUGGUUUUCAAAGGAAUAGUCCUGAUGUGCAAAUGGAGGUUCCCAGGCUAGGGGUCGAAUUGGAGCUAUAGCCAUCGGCCUACACCACAACCACAGCAACAUCAGAUCUGAGCCACAUUUGUGACCUACACCAUAGCUCACAGCAAUGCCGGAUCCUUAAUCCACUGAGCGAGGCCAGGGAUGGAACCCACAACCUCAUGGUUCCUAGUCGGAUUCGUUUCUGCUGCACCACAACAGGAACUCCUCUUUAACACAAUCUUAAUGGCUUUUCUCCCCUCACUGUGUGACUUGCUUCUCUUAUCUUCUCCCACCUUCCUGGAAUCAGAUCCUAAAUAAAGUGCCUGCAUCAGCCCUGUUCUAAGGGUCUGCCUUGUGGGGAGGGCAUGGGGACAGACCCAAGAGAGACAUUACAUAUUGUAUCUGUCAACAGGUCAUUGUGUUAUUAGGUUGCCCGGUUUAGAUUACACUUGAGUACUUACAGAUGCCUUUUCUAGAGAAAUAAAAUAAUAAUCUCUUAAUAUGAAGAAUGACAAUUGAGUUGGUGAUAUGCGGCACAAUUGUAGACCGUAGAGGAGACACUGUGAGACACACGGCACCUAUAAAUAGCCCCAAAACACACCACCUAAACCCAUACUUAGGAAGUUUUGCCUCAUAUGAAGAUGAGUAUAUGCCCUCCCAUACUUUCGUCAGCAACCACAGUGAAAGAAAUUGAGAUCCCAUGCCUGGACAAGCUGCAUUGUUCAUUAAAGACAUGAACUCCUUUUUCUCCAUGAGGAUCAACUUUAAUUGCAAAUGGUGAAUGUGGUAAAGGCCAAGGGAAGUCAAAAUUGGCUCCGCUAAAUACAACCAUUGAUUGAUGACCUGCUAGGAACCGAAGUGAUCCAUCAGCAUUCAAAAUAUAUCUAUGAGCUCUAUAAUUUAAUUUAAAUGGAAAAGCUUUUAAAAAGCUCUAACCAUCUUACAGUUUUCAUUGCAGCCAUAUAAAGGAAUAUUGAGUUUAAUGUAGAAGUAAACUAUAUUUACAUUUAAAAUACAUUAUACCUGGGGUAGGGAGAAUGGUACCAUAAUGGUCAGAGUAUUGGCAAAUGUCUCAUUUCCUUUUGUGUAAAUUUAUAUUCCUACAUUUUACAUAAGAUUUUCCUCUUCUAGAUUUUUUUUAUAACCCAUCAAUCUUUUAGUAUAUUGUGCUAUAUUCGAAGCACCAAGCAUGUUAAAAACACAAUACCAGGUCCAUGGAGAUGAGCUGGAUAUAGUUCUGGCCUUGCAAAAGCUUAUGGUCUAAUAGAGGACUGAGCGAACACAAAGGAUUAGAUUUUUUUUUUUUUUCUGUCUUUUUAGGGCUGCACGGAUGGUAUAUGGAAGUUCCUAGGCUAGGGAUAGAAUGGGAGCUAUAGCCACUAGCCUACGCCACAGCCAUAGCAACGUGGGAUCCAAGCUGCAUCUGCAACUUACACCACAGCUCACAGCAACACCAGAUCCUUAACCUGCUGAUCAAGGCCAGGGAUCAAACUUGUGUCCUCAUGGAUGCUAGUCAGAUUUGUUGCUGCUGAGCCACAACAGAAACUCCAAAGGAUUAGAUUUUCAAAUCAAACUUAUACGAAUCCGAGAUCUUACCCAAUACUGAGCUUUAAUUUAAUUCAAGGAUACAACAUUCAGGAAGCACAGACAAGCAAAGGGAGGUCUGGGCUCUCCCACAUGACUCCCCAGGACCAUCACCCCACACUAGACAUGUGCUUUUUGGCUGAGCCCAGAUAGAUUUCUAAGUGGGAGUUGUGGGUCACAUACAUAGCAGGGAGCAUAAGAGUUAAGAUGUAUCUUCAUUUUAUACCCAAGGAAACUGUAUACCUCACAAGACAUUCUCCAGGGAACCAUGCUUCAUAAAACCAUCAAUCCCAGAUAUGGUUCUCUAAGCAAACAAAAGACAUUCUAGUAAGAGAAAUCCACAUAGAAACCCUCUCCUCCUAGGAAAUACCAUUAUUUUAUUUCCCAGAGACCCAGUUACUGUGUUGACAAGGAGGUUCAACCAGUCACCUGUGUUCUCUUGGGAGCAUCUCCCAGUAACAGAGAGAGGAAGUGGAUCACAGGCCAGAUGCUUCAACUCUUUCCUCCCCAAGGAGAAGGGACGUAUGCCCAAACAACUACAAACCCAGAAGAAUUCAGUAACUGAGAGAAGGGGUCAGACAGUGACUGGUACAGAAUUCAGAGGAUGGUAGAGCAUUGAAAACGCUACUGUCUAUGACAGUUCAUCAUGUUCGUUUAAAGUAUCUGAAAUCAGGGCUUUUACUUAGGACAUGCAUAUCCAGGGAACCCCAGGGUCAGUUGUGCCCAUUAUCUGAAGAUCUGAAACAACCAAAUACAGUUAUGUUGGUCCAAAAUGUUCAAAGACAGGAGACUGGGGUGAGUAGUUAAAGGGUUGGAAGCUACGGUUUGAAAGGCAAGUGCUGUUAGAUUGUGACAUGUCUUGGGCAACAUCUUUAAGAAGGUUGUUCCUCCUCUGCCUGUCCCUUCCUCUCUCACUCUCUUACCCUUCCCUUUUCUCUACUUUUCUUCUCCCCUCCUCCUCUUCUCCUUCUCCCUCUUUAAUUCAGGGAGACCCUGGUGUCGGCAUAAAUACAUAUAUUUUUAUAUCAUAUUAUAAAAAUCUUUUUGUAAUCAGUAUGAGUUCUAAACUAUACCUGUAUAUAUGUGUGUUUCUACCAAACAAUUGGUAUUGAUUUUGGCAAAUACAUAUUGAAUGCCUGCUAUGUGGUGCCAGGCACUGUUCUUGGUGCUUAUGACAGAGCCAUGCACAAAAUAAACAAAAGUCUUUCCAUUGUGGAGCUUACAUACUAUCCAAAGUAUGUAGACAACAACCAACAAACAUAAGCAAUAAGUAACCUACACAGUUUGUUAGAAAGUCCUAAGUACUGCAGAAAAAUGAAAGAGGCAUAGGAAUGCUGAGAGGGAGCAGGCUGAAAUUCUAAGUCUGUUAUUCCCCCAGUGAUUAGAGAAAUAAUGGGAUGGGGAGAGGGGCAGAUGAUAGAACUUUAUAGGUCAUUUUUAAAACUUUGCUUUUCUUCAGAGAGAAAAAGUGGGCCAUAAGAAGGUUUGGGACAGAGUAGUGCUGUAAUUGAUUGAUGUAUGCCAUGGGACUAGAGGGUUCCAGAGGAGCAGGGAUAUCAGUUAAAAGACCGUUGCAACAAUCCAGACAGGAGAUGAGGGUGGUGGUAGCAGUGGAGGUGAUGAGAAGUGAUCAGAUAUGAUAUAUUUCAAAGAUAGAACUGACAAGAUUUCCUGGCAGAUUGGAUUCAGCGUGUUAGCAAAAAAGAAUUCAAAGCUACCAUCAUAAUUUUGGAUGUGAGCAUCUUGAAAUUUGGAAUUACCCUCAACUGACAACUGAUAUGAAGAAGACUGGAAAUUAAGCAGGUUUGAAGAUGCCUUGGUUAUUAACAUUUGUCUCUCCAGCCUAGACCUCCCCAUCCAUGCUCUGCUCUGUCCUUCUGGGGCUAGGCAUCUGCAGACUGCUUUUCCCAGGCUUCCUUGUGGUUUGACUUCCCGUUAGAAGACACAGGUGGGAGAUCAGAAAGUUGGAGGAAGAGGAGUUCCCGUCGUGGCGCAGUGGUUAACAAAUCAGACUAGGAACCAUGAGGUUGCAGGUUCGAUCCCUGCGCUUGCUCAGUGGGUUAAGGAUCCAGCGUUGCCGUGAGCUGUGGUGUAGGUUGCAGACGCGGCUCGGAUCCUGCGUUGCUGUGGCUCUGGCGUAGGCUGGCAGCUACAGCUCUGAUUAGACCCUUAGCCUGGGAACCUCCAUAUGCUGCGGAAGCGGCCCAAGAAAUGGC
rnacentral:lncRNA from 1 species